GUCUCUGUAUGAAAGAACAUCUGUAAUAUUCUCUCUGUAUAUAUUAUAAACUUCAGAGAGACGACAGUGAUCACGGGGCUCAGAUGAACAACAGGUGUUUUUGGGGGCGUGUCUGUUUGAUUGAUAUGCCUGGUGUGCAAUGAUUGAUCAGAUGACGCGGCAGGCCGGGAGGUCGAUCACCGGAGGGGAGCUUGGGUCGUGAGUGCAUCGUAUUGAAGCAGUUGUGUUAAAUUUCUGUUAUUUUUCUUAAUAUUUGUCGGCGGAGGAGGAAUUUUGCACUGACAGUUUUACUGUUAGUUCUUUAGUUUUAAUGAGUUUUCGGUUCACAGUAAUUAUGGCUCGUUCUUCGGCACUAACAGACUGGAGAGACGCUGAUAAACUGUUUCUUUCGAAAUCAACUGCCUGGAUGUGAGUCCCACAGCGUUGGAGGUUUUCCUUUCUCAGCAAAGUGGUUCUACAAAGGUUUUAUAUCUUGAUGCUUCAUGUGAGCAGUGCGACAUCUACUGGCCUGAAUGCAAAAUGGGCAAAUACAAAUGUUUGUACAUCACAAAUUGAAUAGUUAUCUACUGAAAUGUGCAUGCGCAGCAGCCAGCCCCGACCUGUCCUGUGUUGUAAUACCACUUUGUGACACUAGACGCUGUGUGAGUCAAGAACAACUUCCAGCAGCUUGAGGUUAGCAUCACAGAAACACAGGGAUGGCUGAACCUCCUAAAAGGUAAUAUUCAUCUGCAUCCCGAAGGACCGCUCCCGACAAGAAACCACUGUUUAACGGCAAAGAAAAGAAGCAACACGAGUAAAUCUGGAUGUGGCUUUCCACCUGUCUGGACGUGCUGUUAAAGAGCAGAGCAUGACGUGUGUGUCGUGUUUGUUCAUAUUAAGUUUGGUUCAGUGUUAGUCGGAUAGUUUUCAGCUCUAGUUCAUUUCAUUAUUGAUGACAGGAGUCAAAACAUCUGUUGGAAUGAUUCUGUCUCUGUCAGAAUAAAGAACAUCACUGAGAGCUGAGAACCAUCAUGACAUGUGCACCUGCACAAUGACACCAAACUGAGUAUUAGUUUCUAUUCUAUUGUUCUUUAAUGUAAAACGGUUCAGCAGACUGUUUAUUACAACUAAGCUGAGGGAAUAAUGUAUUUUCAGAUAUCUGUGAUCAUCUAAUCAGAGUGCUGUUUCUUUGGUCUUUUUCUCUAAACUCUACAAUAUGAUAUUGAUCUGAUUUCUCUCUAUUAUAAUGUUUUUUUUUCCAUCCAGCCAAGGUCUGGAUCUUUGGGGACACCUACAACCUCUUGCAGCAAUGAGGAUUAUAAUGUUCAGUAUUUACUGAAUCUGUUUGAGAAGUGUUGGUUUAUUUUAAUGGUCAUUGUGGAGGCUGUGAUUGCAGUAAUGUUUAAGUGUGCAGGGAUAUACUGAGAAGUGUUCCUAAUAUUUUUUCAAAUCUAAUUCCUAUAAAUGGGAUGGACAAAAUAUUAGGAACACCUCUCAGUAUAGUGUUAGUUUAUAUACAGUGGUGUCGAAGUCUGAGACCACUUUCCCGUGUAGCCUCACAUGUUACUCCAUAGUAGCUCUAGUAUCACUCAAUUUCAUUUACAAAAGAGAAUAAAAGGAGCCAUUAAAAACACUGAAUAGAGUUCAGCAGGGUAUCUCCUUAAGACUCAAGUUGUCGUGUCUCACCUAUUUUUCCUAUUUUCUAGUUAUGUGCCUGCAUUGCAAUAGCCUUGAAGGCAUAUAUUAUUAAUCUGCAUACUUAUUCGUCUUGGUCAUCUUCUGUAUCGAAAUUUCGUUGUGUAACUAGUCCCGCAGCUUUGAGAAAACCCAGACAAUAUACUCUAUAUUCUUAAAGAUUCGAGUAACCAUGGCAAAGUAUAUGCUGAUAAAAGGCGAAAAAAUUCCCAUAGAGAAUGAAUGAGGAGACGUCUUCCAAACGACCAAACCCAGCCCUCUUUGGAGCUCUACUGCUGCGUCAUACUUCAACACAAACACACACACUUAUUGACAGAAUGAUUGACACAAACACCAUCUCCAUGAUUUGGAUUAACCUUCAAAAUAAAAGUCUCAAUAUGGUAAGGGAAUAAUUUGCAUGUUCUCCUUAUGUUUGUUCCAGGGACUCUGAUUACUAGAACAAAGACAUGCACAUUUAAUUAAUUGAGGACUCUUAAAUGUCAAUAGGUUUGAAUGUGUGUGUGUGCCUGUGUGUUAUUGUGUUGUUGUUGUGUGAUAAACUAUUUUCCUGCUUUCCUUCCAGUGCAUGCUGGGAUACAUUCCAGUACUUUUUUUUGUUUGAAGUUUGAAUGUUUGAUGUAAUGAAAAAAAGUUUGCUACAUUUGCCUCCAGAAUUACAAAGUUUGAAUGUAGAAGUCACAUAAAUGUAAAACUAAUAAGAUUUUCCCUAAAAUUACAGAGAAAAUCUUUAAAUUGUAAGUAUGGACAUUAACCUUUAUAAUAACAAGCUACAUUUUUAAUUACAGAUAAUUACUGUCAUUUUACAUAGAUUUGUAUGUAAUUUGAGAAAGCUGAAAAAUUAAUGUAUAAAUAAUACAGUAAUUUUUCUUUACAAAAAUGGGAAAUAAAUGUAAUUCAUUAUUAUUGGCAUACUGUCUAAAAUAGAAGUUUGUCUGUUAAUUCACAGAUAAUGUUUGUAAUUUUACAAACUUUUGUUCACAAUUUUAAAAAACAGAAAACUUAGCUUUUUUUUACAGUGUAAUGUAUUAAUGUACUUAUUUAUAUACAAACAGAAGGGGGUUUAUUUACAGUAUAUGUAUGUUUAUGUGCAGUAUACAACCUGCUUAGUUUUAUAUCUAACUAACACGUAUUUUCUUAUUAGUCUUAUGAUUAUUUCUUUAGUAAUCAAUUAUGUAGAUGUAUGAACGAUGUGUACGCACAAAACCCUGCAUACAACAUUUUCAUUUUUACUACCCUUAACCCAUAAAAGAAGAAUGUGGCAGCUCAUGUAUUCCUCAGACCAGACGUGGGCCUUCCUAUAGUUUACUAGCGAUAGAUGCAGGUGAAAUGAUAAGAAUUAGAUUUAAUAUAAGAUAAGAGAUGUAACCUGAGUGUUGACAGUAUCCCUGAUUAUGUUAAUAUUUUGUACAAUUUCAAUCAAAGGCUCCUUUAUAAAAUAUAUUUUAAAUAAUCAGCAAUGAACUUUAUAAUUGUUUUUGUUUAUUUUAUAAAAAGAAACUGUUAGUAAGACCCGUGGACAUGAAACUAAAAUGGACAUCCAUCAAUAUGAUGGAAAGCGUGGCGGAAAACAGCUCUUGACCCAAAGCCACCACCUCAUCUAUCAAACACGGUGGUGGUUCUGCUCUGACUCAUGUAUGUUUUGCUCCAGUGGAACUGACUCACUGGCAUUUACUAAUGAUUUCACAGCUGAUGGAAGCGGCAGGGUGAACGCAGAGGUCGGUCCACAGAGUGCGGCUCAGAUUCAGCCAAAUGCAUCAAACCUCACUGGACGAACAUUUCAUCAUUCAGCAGGACAAUGAUCGUAAACAUACGGUCAAAGAGCAAGAGUCAGUCACCUGAUCAACUGAAGGAGGCUGUGAAGCGUCUGAUGAGGCCUGUGGGUCUGAGACUUCAGAUCUUUGAAGGAUUUUCCAUUAAAUGUUAAAUAUGAA